rnacentral:rRNA from 1 species
AGAGUUUGAUCCUGGCUCAGAACGAACGCUGGCGGCAGGCUUAACACAUGCAAGUCGAGCGGGCCCUUCGGGGUCAGCGGCGGACGGGUUAGUAACGCGUGGGAACGUGCCCUUUGCUCUGGAAUAGCCCUGGGAAACUGGGGGUAAUACCGGAUGUGCCCUGAGGGGGAAAGAUUUAUCGGCAAGGGAUCGGCCCGCGUCUGAUUAGGUAGUUGGUGGGGUAAUGGCCUACCAAGCCUACGAUCGGUAGCUGGUUUGAGAGGAAGAUCCCCCACACUGGCACUGAGAUACGGGCCAGACUCCUACGGGAGGCAGCAGUAGGGAAUAUUGGGCAAUGGCGGAAACGCUGACCCAGCCAUGCCGCGUGCAGGAAGAAGGCGCUCAGCGUUGUAAACUGCUUUUGCCGGGGAAGAACGACUCUUACGCGUAAGAGGAAUGACGGUACCUGGUGAAUAAGCACCGGCUAACUCUGUGCCAGCAGCCGCGGUAAUACAGAGGGUGCAAGCGUUGUUCGGAAUUAUUGGGCGUAAAGCGCGUGUAGGCGGCUUUGCAAGUCGGGUGUGAAAGCCCUCAGCUCAACUGAGGAAGUGCGCCCGAAACUGCAGAGCUUGAGUGCCGGAGAGGGUGGCGGAAUUCCCCAAGUAGAGGUGAAAUUCGUAGAUAUGGGGAGGAACACCGGUGGCGAAGGCGGCCACCUGGACGGUAACUGACGCUGAGACGCGAAAGCGUGGGGAGCAAACAGGAUUAGAUACCCCGGUAGUCC